GGGGGCGCACCGGUUUCGACGGGGACGUGGAAGCCGGAGCGGCAGGCCGAGGCGCCGCUGGCCUCGUAAAAAGCGGCAACACAGUAAUUGCCAACAACGAUUACAACUCUGACUACGCCUACGCCUACGCGGCUUAGACGAGUCACUUGACCGCGUAACACCGGUCACGCUGUUCGGGAUGACGCCUGAUGUUCCCGGAUGGCGGCAUCUUAUCGGGCUGGCGAAAACUGGCGCCCACCGGAGUUUUCGCAAGAUGUUACGGCGGGCUUGCCUGUCUGCGGCUGAUCAGGGCCAAACAGCACGGGCGAGAAUGUAUGCCUGAUCUAAGCCUGUAGAUGCUUCGCGUGGAAUGCUCUCGGACAGGGGUUCGACUCCCCUCGCCUCCACCA
rnacentral:tmRNA from 1 species